CGCGUGAGAGCGGCCGCGCUGCCUGGGCUGGAGGGGGUUGCCUCGCUUUCCUUCAGCUUCUUAGAACUUUCUAGGCGCGAUUGUGGCCACAACUUGGACCUUCUAAGAACAGUGCUGCGUCGUGACGCUCUGCUACCAGGCUGAUCCGCUCGGGGUUUGUCCGGAAAUGGCGGACGCAGGAAUGUUCCAAAAUGAUGUUAAUUUCUACAGAGAGGAAAAGAUAAUGUGCCACUGGACAAGAAUCAGCUAAGGAGAAAUGAGGGUCCAACGAUGAAGGUAUUAUAUUGAUAAAAGAUGUGUGGAAGGAAGGUUUAAGAAGGAAGAAAAUCUUGGUGACCAGUUUUGGAGCAGCCAAGAGCUAGAGAUGAGCAGAAGCCUAAGGAAAGACUGAGGACUUCAGAAGGCCAUCUUCCUGUAGGAGCUCUCGGUGAUCACUGAUGUCUGAAGUCCCCCUGUGAUGUUCAUUAAAAGCACUUCAAAU
rnacentral:lncRNA from 1 species